AACGAACGCUGGCGGCAUGCCUAACACAUGCAAGUCGAACGAGACCUUCGGGUCUAGUGGCGCACGGGUGCGUAACGCGUGGGAAUCUGCCCUUCGGUUGGGAAUCCCUGAGAGAAAUUUCAGCUAAUACCUUAUAAUGUCUUCGGACCAAAGAUUUAUCGCCGAGGGAUGAGCCCGCGUAGGAUUAGGUAGUUGGUGGGGUAAUGGCCUACCAAGCCGACGAUCCUUAGCUGGUCUGAGAGGAUGAUCAGCCACACUGGGACUGAGACACGGCCCAGACUCCUACGGGAGGCAGCAGUGGGGAAUAUUGGACAAGGGGCGAAAGCCUGACCCAGCAAUGCCGCGUGAGUGAGGAAGGCCUUAGGGUUGUAAAGCUCUUUUACACGAGAUGAUAAUGACAGUACCGGGAGAAUAAGCACCGGCUAACUCCGUG
rnacentral:rRNA from 1 species